rnacentral:rRNA from 1 species
GACGAACGCUGGCGGCGUGCUUAACACAUGCAAGUCGAACGAUGAAGCUGGAGCUCGCUCCGGUGGAUUAGUGGCGAACGGGUGAGUAACACGUGAGCAAUCUGCCCUUGACUCUGGGAUAACUGCGGGAAACUGUAGCUAAUACCGGAUACGAGACCUGAAGGCAUCUUCGGGUCUGGAAAGAAUUUCGGUCAAGGAUGAGCUCGCGGCCUAUCAGCUUGUUGGUGAGGUAAUGGCUCACCAAGGCGACGACGGGUAGCCGGCCUGAGAGGGUGACCGGCCACACUGGGACUGAGACACGGCCCAGACUCCUACGGGAGGCAGCAGUGGGGAAUAUUGCACAAUGGGCGAAAGCCUGAUGCAGCAACGCCGUGUGAGGGAUGAAGGCCUUCGGGUUGUAAACCUCUUUUAGCAGGGAAGAAGCGAAAGUGACGGUACCUGCAGAAAAAGCACCGGCUAACUACGUGCCAGCCGCCGCCGUAA